UCCCUCUCUGGACAGAGAGAGGGACCAGGAAGAAGAAGAAAAAAAAAACAUCUCCUGGAAACAUACCAUAAAUGAGCAUCUAACAUUACAAAAAUUGAGAUGAUUCCAGCUGAUGCAAUGAAAAUAAGGAAGAGUUCUGAAUUUGGCACUAAAUCCACAGCUGUUGUAAAAUGACUUCAACUGAUUUCAGUGGAACUAUGCUCCUUUACAGCAAAUCUCAGGAACUGCACACAGCCAGGCAUUGAUAACUGUACAGCUGGGAUCUGAUGGCUUUAUUCAAUGGAACUGAGUCAGCACAUCUACUCAGGCAUGAAAAAGAGAAGAACUGUGUUUUAAUCCUGUGACAGAACACAGUGGCAAAAGGAAGGGAUGCUGUUAAUUUCUGGAGGAUCCAGGAGAUAGGUGAGAGAGCUUGCAGAGAGGAAGCAGCUUAAGAGGAGGAAGCAGGAGGCACUACAGAAGUAAGGUCAUCAAGUGAGGAGGCAUAUCAAGAGGGCUUACAGAGGUGGGCCAGAAGCUCCUGCCAACAUGAGACCAACGACCAUCUAUACAGGAUAUUUUCAGUAUAUCUAUAUAGCUCAGACACUUGGUCUGCUGUUCCUGGGUUCCAGUUCUGCAAAGAUUUGUACACAUGCUGAACUUUACACACUCUGAGUUGUCCCACUAAAGUCAGAGUUAGAUUAUAAAGAGCAGGCACAGAAAAGGAAGGUUUUUUCCCCUUCAUAUCAGGCCCUUAGAGUGCCUCAGAACAUUGGGGAAUCCUGAUUGAAUAUCCAUUUAUUAGCAAAGAGUUAAUAAUUUAUCCUUUUGCAGUAAUGUCAACCAUUCUAUGAUGUAUUAACCAACCCAAAGGAUGAAAAACAUUUAGAGAUCUCCUUCAUUUUUUGUUGUCACAUUUCCAAGUACUUAGCUAUGGGUAUGUACUUUGCAAAAUUUACUGAAUUUAAAUUGCCCUCUAUGCACAUCAUUCAAUGGCUUUUAUAUACAAAGUAUACUGUUUAGCAAGGGAGAAUUGUAAAGGACACAUUAUAAUUUAACAUCAGUUGCAUGAAUGUAGCCUAUGUUUUUCAGAGAACAAAGACUGACUUUUUGUAGAUGUGUAUGUUUUAUUCAUCACGGAAUAACUGGGCUAUAAGUGUAUAAUCUGUAAC